UGUGGAGGCCAGAAGACAACUUUCUGGAGCAGGUUCUGGCCUUCUACUGUGGGCUGUGAGGAUCAAACUCAGGCUGGAGGCUGACUCAUCAAGUGCUUUAACCUGCUGAGUCACUUCACUGGCCCAAAGCCAAUUACUUUUGUUGUUGUUGUUGUUUAUUUUUCUAGACAGGGUCUCAUUAUAUAGCUCUGACUGUCCUAGAACUCAUUAUGUAGAAUAGACUUUCCUCAAACUCAUGGAGAUUCACUGGCUUCUGCCUCCCAAGUGCUGCCCCUGGCUCUUCCCAGUUACUUCUAAAAAGACUGAAAAUAGUAAGAAAAAGGAAAAAAAAAAAAGAUCAAUUUAACCUCAUACUAUUUCUGGUGUGGUUCAUUACUUUGUAUAAAUCUAAUUUUCAUAUGAUAUCACGUUCCCUCUGCUCAUAGAGCUCUAGUUAUCAUUUCUUUUAUGCACAUGUGUUAUAGACAGUGUGUCUGUCCUCUUCAGUUUUUGCUGGUCUGAAAAGUUUAAGAACAGAAGCUUAUGUAUCCCAGAUGUCCUCCAAGGAUGACCUUGGCCUCCUGACCCUCCCGCCUGAAGCUCUUGAGUGUUGGGAUUACAGUACAGGAGUGUACUCUUGGUUUAUGUGAUACUAGAGAUCAGUGCAGAGACUCACAGGGCUAGAAUCUAUAGCUACUAAAACUGAACUAAAGCUCUAGUUCCUGUUGGAAAAAGUUUGGAGAGACAGUGACUGCGAGCCUGUAAUCCUAGCUCAUGGGAGGCUGAGGCAAGAAAAUGAUUGUAAAUUUAAGAUCAGCAUAGACUACAUAGGGAAUUCUAGACCAGCCUGGGCUAUAGUGUGAGACCCUGUCUC
rnacentral:lncRNA from 1 species